AUGUCUGCUCACGUCUCCUCCCCAGCCACAGAGCGGGAGAGGAGCCGUUUUGAGGGAACUCGCCUGGUGGUCUUCCGGGGAACCAGGGGAGGUCACCGAGGAGGGAGUGGUCGAGAGGAGGUUCAACAUCGCUCUCAACCAUGGCCCCCCUUCGACCCUGGGCUCGUGUGUGACGGAUCAGAGCCACCUGCGCUUCUUUUCCCCUCUCCGUCCGCCAUGGUGGCGCCACUGCCCAUGAUGGCCGCAGGGCCAGCACCACGAGGCAAGAUGGACGCCAGCCCAGCGCCACAGCACAGGGUGGUCACCAGCUCCACGCCACGAGGCCAGACGGUCGCCAGCCCAGCGCCAAUGCCCAAGAGGGCCGCGGAGACAUUGUUGGAUUACUUUUCCAUGUUGAACCAGAUCUUAGAGAUUCCCAGGAGUGUUCACGUCCCGGCUGCGGAGCCAGCGCCACAGCACAAGAGGGCCGCCAGCCCAGCGCCACAGCACAAGAGGGCCGCCAGCCCAGCGCCACAGCACAAGAUGGCCGCCAGCCCAGCGCCACAGCACAAGAUGGCCGAAUCUGCACCUGUGUCGCCAGACAAGAUGGCCGACUCAACGCCUGAGUCUCCAGACAAGGUGCCACCGACUCGCCAUCAUAGAGGGUGGAGGAGGAGGGGACAGGCGUCUACCAUUCCUCAAAGCCCGGCGGACGAUCCCGAGCAGCCCGCUGCCGUCCCGGAGGCCGUUUCCGAGCAGUCCACUGCCGUCCCGGAGGCCGUUCCCGAGCAGCCCGCUGCCGUCCCGGAGGAUGUUCCUGAGCAGCCCGCUGCCGUCCCGGAGGCGGAGCCUGAGGCAGAGGCCGAUAUGGUGCCCGAGGCGGUUCUUGAAGCCGAGGCGGUUCCUGAGGCCGUUCCCGAGGCGGUGCCCGAUGCGGGCCCGGAGGUCGAGGCUGUGCCAGAUGCCGUUCCGGAUGCCGAGGCGGUGCCCGAUGCGGUUCCGGAGGCCGAGGCGGUGCCCGAUGACGUUCCGGAGGUCGAGGCGGUGCCUGAGAUGGUUCCGGAGGCCGAUGCGGUUCCGGAGGCCGAGGCGGUGCCCGAUGCCGUUCCGGAGGUCGAGGCGGUUCCGGAGGCCGAGGCGGUGCCCGACGCGCAGGCCGAGGCGAUGCCCGUGUCCAGGGCCGUUCCCGAGGCGGUGUCCUGGUCCCAUGCCGUUCCUGAGGCCGCUCCCGAGGCGGUGCCCGAGCCCGAGGUCGUGCCCGAGGUCGUUNNNNNNNNNNNNNNNNNNNNNNNNNNNNNNNNGGUGCCCGAUGCUGUUCCGGAGGCCGAGGCGGUGCCCGAGGCGGGUCCGGAGGCCGAGGCGGUGCCCGAUGCCGUUCAGGAGGCCGAGGCGGUGCCCGAUGCCGAGGCGGUGCCCGAUGCGGUGCUGGAGGCUGAGGCGGUGUCCGAUGCGGUGCCCAAGGCCGAGGCGGGGUCCGAGGCCAUUCCCGAGGUGGUGUCCGAUGCGGUGCCCGAGAUGGUGCCCGAAGCCGAGGCACUUCACGUCCCCACAGGCCGUCCAGAGCACCUUCACAUCUCCACAGGCCGUCCAGAGCACCUUCACGUCUCCACAGGCUGUCCAGAGCAUCUUCACGUCUCCACAGGCCAUCCAGAGCACCUUCACGUCUCCACAGGGGCCCCGGAGUGGCAGGAUCCGUCCUGGCCGCUCAAAUGGCGGGUUCUUCCCUGGCCGUCUACACAACCUGAACUUUUGGGUCCACCCUGGUCCCCUAAACUGACUGAUCCACCUUGGCUACCGGUGGAGCCAUCGCUUCCUGUCCCUGUUCCCCUACAUGGGCCUGGCCCUCCAUCCCUCCCCCUGUUCUACCUCCACCAGUCCACCUCCCUCCUGGUCUUCUGGUUGUGUUGUUGUUUUUGGGUUUUUUUUUUUUGUUUCUCCACUUCCUGUCCCUGUAGUCUUGGAGUGUCUGGUAGCCACUCCGUAGAGGGGGGGUUAUGUCACAGUGUCUGGGUUGUGUUCCCUGGGUAA
ensembl:lncRNA